rnacentral:rRNA from 1 species
GUGGGGAAUAUUGGACAAUGGGCGCAAGCCUGAUCCAGCCAUGCCGCGUGAGUGAUGAAGGCCUUAGGGUUGUAAAGCUCUUUCGUCAGGGAAGAUAAUGACGGUACCUGAAGAAGAAGCCCCGGCUAACUUCGUGCCAGCAGCCGCGGUAAUACGAAGGGGGCUAGCGUUGCUCGGAAUCACUGGGCGUAAAGCGCACGUAGGCGGCUUUCUAAGUCAGGGGUGAAAUCCUGGAGCUCAACUCCAGAACUGCCUUUGAUACUGGAGAGCUUGAGGUCGGGAGAGGUGAGUGGAACUGCGAGUGUAGAGGUGAAAUUCGUAGAUAUUCGCAAGAACACCAGUGGCGAAGGCGGCUCACUGGCCCGAUACUGACGCUGAGGUGCGAAAGCGUGGGGAGCAAAUAGGAUUAGAUACCCCGGUAGUCC